AGGAGCUGAUAAGAUGGGGCCAGCAAAGGUGUGGGGCAGAGGAAUCUUCCAAGCAAAGGAGGUCCUAGUUCCUGGGUUGGCUGGACUAAGAGUCUAGGUAAUUUAUAUGACACAUGGGAAGGCAUGGAGCUAUGUAUGUGGCCAUGAGAUUUGAUCAAGAUUUCAACAUAAAUAGAUAUGUGUUUGUGUGUACUCACGUGUGCACAUGUGUACAUGACUAGGAGGCCAGAGGAGGUGUCAGGUGGCCUGCUCUGUUGCUUUGUGCCUUAGUUCUCUGAGAGUGUUUCUCACGGAUCUGGUGCUAGGCAGGCAGCAGGUACCUGUGAUCCUCCUGUUUCUACUCCUCAGUGCUGGGACAGCAUGUGUUUGCCCACAGCCAACUUUUGAUGUACUGGGGAUUUGAACUCAGGUCCUCAUGCAGUGCAGCAAGUGUUCUUAUUGAGUCGUGUCCCCAGCCCAUAAACAGUAUUAUUUUGGUUUUGCCUAACACCAUUAACUAAAUUAUCUCUUUUCCCACCCUCAUUUUCUGGCCUUUGUACUUAAAUUUAAAACACCAAAGAAUUUUUUUUAUUGGUAUGGAAGCAUCACAGACCCCAUUAAGGGACCAUUAAGUCUCCUUGGUUUAAGUACCCCUGUUGGCCAGAGUACCGUGGGAAGGGCACAUUGGGGAAGCAAAGCCAACUUUGGCUGGCUCUGUGCCCUGAGCUGCUUCCUGUGUCUGUGCUGCCCGCUGCAGAGUCCCCACAUCCUUGGCUUGACAGGGUCACCCAGGCAAUGCUGCAUUCCCCUGGUGAGGUAGGCUGACAGGCGCCCUGGUAGAGGGUGCCUUAGAGUCCCAGCCACCUCUUGCUCUGUUUCCUCCUCAGAGGGGACUUCUCAGGGCUGCUUCCCACCUUCCACCCCACCACACCCCUGCUUCACCUCAGCUGCUAGAACUGUGUGGCAAUGACAUCUUGAGUUAUUUUUAGAGCAUUACAUAGUCAUCUCUCUGACUUGGGUAGAUUGCUGUCUGAGGAGCUUCUUUAGGAGGCUGAGCAAGGCACAGAAGCGACGUGGAUGCUUUCACAGUGAACAUUGACUUCUUACUGGCCUCGUCAUCCUGAAAGAGGACUGAUCCUUGGCACUGGGUUGGGUGAGGCGGGCUGUAUCCACCACACAGCACGACUCAUUCACAGGGAAGUGUUCCUCCAGGAGAGUGUCCCUGCGACUGAGCAAGUCUGUGGAGGCAGGCUCUGAGUGUCGGGGAUGGAGCUGCCUCUUAGGUGAUGAAAAUGGUUUAGACAUGAUGGCUACGUAACCCCACGUGUGUGCCCGUGCUGGCUCUGUUUUUGCUAAGGCGACAUAGCCAGGGUCAUCUGGGAAGAGGGAACUUCAGCUAAGAAAAAUUCCUCCAAUAGAUAGGCCUUUUAGGCAAGUUGUGGGGCAUUUUCUUGAUAUUAAUAAUUCGUGUGGGAGAGCAUAGCACAUUGGAGGACAGUGUUGCUCCUGCACAGGUGGUCCCAGGUAAUACCCAGCAGACUGAGCCAGCUGUGGAGAGGGCUUCUGCCAGGUUCUUUCCCUGCCUUGCCUCACAGAUGGACUGAGGGUGAAAAGCCUUUCCUCACCAGGUUGCUUUUCAUUACAGUGUUCAUGACAGCAAUAGAAACCAAACUAAGAUAGUACUAAAAAGCCACUAAUGUAUGUGGUGGAAAUGAGUCAUGCUGCUGUCAACAUGAAGCACUGUCUCUUCUGUAAAGGACAUAGUAAUAGUUUAUUGUGAGCCAAUGUGAACGGCAGCAUUCGUGCUGGGAACAUGAGAACUGGGUUACCUUAUACAACAUACUCCACUACAGGAGACAUCACAGGACAGAAGACAGGAGUCAGUGUGCUCGCACUGUCUAUCUGUAGGGGCGUCAGGCAGACAGCAGAGAUCUUCUUAGUGGGUUUAGGGACUGGCGCAUUCUUAGCAUAUAAAAUUGGUAGAAGUUGGAGGUCCCUCAGGCUUUGUGGCUCUCCUGAGGUUUCAUGUAGCAGUUAUGAAGAUCUCAGGGCAGAUAUAGCAGUUAAUGAUAGAUGGCUAUUAAAUGCAGUGAAGAACCCAGUUAGCUCUGCCUCCUGCAACAUUCAAACUCCUCCAGUUGAGAUAUCGUGGUUAGCCAGUGCCAACAGCCUGCAGGCUCUUCUGUAUAACUGUGGCUUCUUCCAAGAGCUUGAAGCCACAGUAUUGGAACUGUUGCUAAAAUCCCUUCCCGGAGAGUUAUGAAGAACACCUACCUAUCCAUCCUCAGAAAUUCCUAACCAGAGAGAAAAGAACAGUUCCACUGUGCCUAACUCUGGGAACCAGUGGAUUCAUCGGGCUUCCUGACAGAGCAAGCAUAGGUGAGCAAUACUGGAAGGAGAGUAGGUGGCCUAAAAGUGUCUGCACUUGAAAGUACCAAGCAUGGCUUCCCCAUGGCCAUCUCAGAGCCUCCUUCCUUCGUCUUCCCCAUGGUAUAUACUCUACGUAGCUUGUCUGUCAUGUGCAUUUGGGGGAAAAUUAAAUACAAAUGCCUGGGAGGAGUGGCUGGUUACUCAGAAGAGGGUCCUUCUGUGACAGAAUGAGCAGUUAUCACACCCAGUUAUGGAGGCCCUUGGCGAGAAGACCUAGCUGUUCUGAGGACAGCAGUAGGUCCAUCCAAAGACUGCAUUAUAGCAGCAGCACAGAUUACAUCUCAGAAAGCUGUGAUCUUAAAAAGUCAGAGGCAUUCAUACAGCUUGGAGAUGCUGUAUGAUCUUGUAACUGUAAAUCUUGAUGGCAUCCAGUAUUAGAGAGGGUACCUGGCAUAGUUGUGUGGGUGCAAGCCAGCACCUGAGGGAGGCCAAGGCAGGAACUCAAGCAGGAGCAGAGAAGAAACCAUGCAGGGAAGCUGCUUGCUGGCCUGUUCUCCAUGGCUCUCUUUGCUUCCUUGUUUUGAUAAAGAGUCUUACUAUGUAUCUGCCUGUAGUAGGCUGUGCCCUCUCCUCCCAUAUCAGUCAUUAAUCAAGAGAAUGUCCCACAGUAUGCCUGCAGGACAGUCUGACAGAGACUAUUCUUCCCAGCUAUUUCUUAGUUCGUGUCAAGUUGACAAAUUAGCACAUGGAGACUAGGCAGUUGGUAGGUGUGACAUGGGCUGCAGUCUGCAAACUUUUAUGGGGCUAGAAAUUCUUGGAAGUUUGGGUCCCUGCUACUCUCAGAGUCAACGAAGGGAAACCAAGCUCUUCUCUCUGCUGGCAAGGGUAGGCUCUUCUUACUCUGCUCUGUUUACAUUAACAGCCCUCCCAUGCUUCUCUGCUGAUACCGUGCUACCUCCCUGACUGGGGACAUCCUCCAAGAGGUAGCCAGAGCAUCUCUUCUGUGAUCCUGGGUUGCUGGGACUAUGGGAUAUACAUGGUAGGGAGCAGCAACCCCCUUUGAGAGAUCCUGUGUGUUGACGACAGUGGUGCCUGUAGAAGGUUUGUUCUGGCCGGACACAGGCCUUGAGGUUUUCAGCCUUGGCUUCUGUCUAGAGAGAAAGAAUGAACACCAUGCAGCUGAGGUAGAAGGGUUUGUCACUGGAUUCUGGCCAACUCUGCAGCAGUUUGACCUGCAGUUGACCCAGGCUGGGCUUGGAAGAGGAAUUAACAUGGACAGAUAGACCAUGUAGGAUGUAGGAUGAUAGACCAUAAGGAGUUUAUUUCCCACACACUUAACACUAUGGGUGCCUUGCAUAAUGAACAGGAAGGGAGAGAGGAAUGUGUCAUGUGGCCCAUUGGAAAUCAGCAUAGUACUCUGCUUCGCUUCAGUAAGCAGCAUGUUAAGGAAAUUUUGUGUCUGUCUCUUUCUCUUUGGAGGGAGAAAAUGGAUUCUAUAAAUCAGAAAUAUUGUUAGUACUUUUAAAACCCAGUUCUUUUGUCUCUGAGGUAAGGAGGGCCAGUAAAUAGCUUAGCAGACUCUCUCUUGAGGGAUCUAAAAAGAAAUUUUAAUUAUUUUUCACUUAGUGCUUUGGUAACUUCUAAAAGGAGCCUGGUUUGGGAAUAUUAUUUGGGAGUUCCUCUGUUUAUGGGUUCCAGGGCCGUCUGCAUUAUCUCUGUCCUGUUACUAGGUUGCUAUUUCCUUUCUUGUAAGUUUACAGCAGGCAUCGACCUCUGCUAGAAGUUGGUCAUUAUUUGUUAUGAACUAAACUCUGCUCCUAUAUUCAUAUGUUGAAUCUCCACUUCCCAGUGUGAAUAUGUUUGGAUGUUGGACCCUUAAUGAGAUAAACAAAGUUAAUCGAGGCCAUAAAGACAGGGCUGGUAUCCAUUGAAUUGUCCUUACAUAAGUAGGAAGAGACGCCAAGGCUCACACUCAGAGGGCCCCAGGGCCACACGAUGAGAAGAUUGCUGUUUUUAAAACAGAAUUCCAAAUGUCCAACUUACCAAAUGAAGACUUGGGAGUCAGAUGCUGGGUUUAAGCCUGCUGGCUCAGAGAGGCAGCGAAAGCGCUCAGCUGACCUUUCUCCUCCACUGACAUCCUGAAGGAAAAGGCUCCUGCUCCUUCUUCACACUGUCUUAAUACCCUUCAGCUCAAGACCUCCUUUGUCUUUCCUGGGGUUUCCAGUCCAUUUCUGUCAACUGGUUGUUUGCUGCACACCACUUGACCUAUGGUUGAUUUUGUUUACAGAAAGCUCUUGUGUUAGAGGUGUGGGGUAAGUCUGAGCCACACCACAACAAGAAACAGGUUUUUCCAGUUUCCAAUCUUGGGGUUUACAAUGUGAUCAAAUACCCUGCAGCAGAAAACGGAAGUCUAUAAGUCAAAGAAAGAGUUGCAGGAGGAAUCACACCAGACACUUGAGUCUUGGGCUUCCAGUUUUUAUAUCUGUGUUUUGUUAUAGCAGUGAAACUAGACUGAGAGUGCAUAGGUUUUCAUUAGGUUUGGGUCUAAAGCUGUAUUCUUUAUUAGCUUGAAUCUUGGGAUAAGCCAUAAUCUUCCUAUGCUUUGAUAUCCAUUUCUGUAGUACAGAGUGUGCAUAUGUCCCAGGAGUUAUAUAUACUGUAUGUUAUAUGUAAUAUGAUGCUAUCUAUACAAUAAUACACAUGUUACUUUAGUUUUAAUCAUGUCAGGGGAUUGACUACAUUGGGUCUAGAUCUCAAGCUCUGGUUCUCAGGUUGUGAGCAAGGCAGUAGUUGAUGGGAAAGACUGCUGACCCUAGGAUAGAGUGUGGGGAUUCAUCUCAGUUUUGGCUCUUUUGGAUAUGGCCGUUGCCAGUAGCUAGAUGAUUACAGCACAGUUUCGUUGUGUACUAGGGUGUAGUGGUGCUUGGUUGGGUGAUUUGGAUUUUUAUAGAUGACACCUGUGGUUGGAUCCUAUCUCUCUCUGGUUCCAAGCAUGACUGUCCUGUGCUCUUUCUCCUCUUGUGGGGCUAUGUGUUGGGCGGGAUCUUACAUAAAGACAUCCAUCUCAGGAGCAGCCCUCACUGAUCUUGUUCUCAUUCCUAGUAGCCUGUCUCGUUUUGGUGCCUGGGAUGUAGUGGUGCACAAUUAUUGUCAUUUUAUAAACAGCGUUAUCAAGAUGAGAUCUGUCGAUGUUACAAAUCAGCUAUCUACCACGAGGCCAAUAUUUUAAUACAUUUAUAGUGCUAAUACUUUAUUUUUUUCUCCUUCAUCCUUCCUCCCACAUUCUUUCCUCUUUUCCUUGGGUGGAACCCAUAGUUCUGGUCAUGCUAGUGAAUACUAUACCAUCCAUGCUGGGCCACGGCUCUAGCCCUGCUUUCAGCCAUUUUUUCAAAAAUGAGUAAGUGCGUCAUUUAGCAGUGCUUCAUAACUUCUGUACAUUCAGUCAGUCAUGGUGUGAUGAGUGCCUGUCAUCAGAAACUCAGAAGCAUGGUGGUCAGCAUUGGGAUAAACAGCGUCACAUGGCAUGUAGGCCCUCAUUGUCAGGACAGCACUGGGUGGCCAAGCUUGGUCUUCCCUUUCUCAGUCAGCUGUUUGUUAGCUACUGAGCAGAGCCUCCCAGUGAUUAUCCACAGUCUGUGUCCCAGGCUUCAUCUCCCCACCCUCAUGGGAACUGCUGACUAUAUUAGUCCCUUCCUCUUGCUGCUGUGUCAAAACUCCUAACACAAGCAAGUGCAGGAAGGAGGGCUCAUUUCUUAGAUGUGACUGCCAAAGCCAGUGGUCUAAUGGUGGUCGCUGAUCGAUAUGGACACCACGUUAUCAAAGUUUGUCAAUCCAGUCUAACUUGAGUGGCGCUUCCUUCUCAGUGUAGAGUUGUGUUUAUAAACGGCUUGAAGUAUGUGUGUCUAGGUAGCCACACUAAUGUUUUAAGUCGCUGCAUAUCAGCUUGAGUAUUCUGAGAACUCCUGUGUGUAUGGUCUGAAUCAAAUGUGUUGGUGUGUCAUCAUGAUAUCAUCCUGUGAGUUCUUAUGAGGGGAACAGAAGAUGCCAAUACAAUAUAAAAGGUUGGGCUGGUGAGGUGGCUCAGUGGGUGAGUGUAAAGCAAACAACCCUAUCACUGUGAAUUUGGUGUUCUGAAUCCCAAACCAUCGGAUAUUUUAUGUUAAGUAUGUGUUCCCAUGUGUGUAUGUAUUCCUGUGCAUACAUAUAAAGUCUCAGAAAAACAGUCUCAAGCUCACUACCAACAUGUUAAUGAGUACCUAGAGGUGACAGGUCCUGUUUGAGCCUGUCCUGCCCUCCUCACCUCAGGGCCCGUUACCAGAGCACACAGCCAGCGCGUGCAUCUCUACUGCCAGGCCGUGGUAUGCAUUCGCCCAGCUCCGCAAGUUUAUUCUCACUGCCAGGUGUGUGAGGCGUCCGUGCCCCUCCAGCUUCUUCUGUGGUUGAGCCUGCAGGGGAGGCCGGCAGCAGCCUCAAGCAGGGGGCUCUGUUCAUUUCCAAUCUCUAGAUCCCAUUUUCUUGUGUCUGAAAAGUGCCAGGGCAUUUAUUUGAAGUGUUGCUCUCAGAGCAGGUUAAUCUAACUCCCCCUCAGAGGGCACUUGACCCAGAACCGUUCUUUCCCUGAGGCAGGGUGAUUUUCUUAGAAUAGAUCUUGAUGUCCCUCAUAGUCAAUAUUCCUAGGUAUAGCCUAGGCUCUGGGGCAGGUAGUUUGAAACUUUGUUGUAACUAAGGCAUUUGCUCCUAGUCGGGUGGCCAUUCCUCUUGUCUUCUCCCAGGGCUCCUGUCUCUGUGUGGAAGGUCUCAUUUGCCUGCCUCCAGCACUUGCUACUUUGUCUCCGGUCUUUGUGGACCCACGUCCUUCCCACUUAGAUGGAGACUGCUGUUGUCUGUGCCUUCCAGUGAUCCCUGCAGCUUCUCACUUCCCCAGUGGUUUUCUGUUUCCUGUGUUCUUCCUCAGCGCUGCACUGUCUAAUCUUCAGUGGCUCGCGUCAUCUGUACUUUGUCUUGCGGCUUGUCCUGAAAUAGAAGUUUGCAGUUACAUGGGUAUUUUUGGUAUAUUUUUAUUACCUGUAGGUGAUCCUCCCCCUUCUUCUCUUCCUCCUUCCCUUCCUUUCCUUUUCCCUUUUCCUCCACCUCUUCUCAUUUUAAGUCAGAGUUGUGCUAUAUAGCACAGGUCAGCCUAGGUAGUAGCCAUUGCAGUCCAGCCUGGCCUUGCACCUGCUCUCUUUCUGCCUUGGCGCCUCUGAGUGCUGCUAUGCCAGGCAGGAGGACCACAGGUAUGGGGACCAGAGCUCUGUCUUCUGUCAUUUCCAGGAACACAACCACUUGCUCCCUGAACCGACUGGGCUUGCUCUCCUCUCCCCUAUCAUUGGAUACCUUCUUCCCUUCAUCCUUAGUACCUCUCCACUCUUCAGCCACAUCUCCAUCUCAGUGGCCUUUUUCUUACUGUGGGGCUUCCUCAACAUGGAAGGGAACCAAGACCACUGGGGGGUUACGGUCGGUUUGCACUCCACUGUUUUCUGGUUCCAAAGCAGCCUUUACCUAUGUGCUGAAUGGCUGACUUGGUGACCUCUCAGGCUUUUGAGCAGUUGUCCUUUGUAAUCCAUCUGUACUGGUGCUACCUAGGCCUGUGUCUGUUAGUCUGCCUUGGCCUAAUUAAACUGCAGGGUUUGCAUGGGCCCUGCCUCUAGUCCCAUUGUAAAUGCCAUCAUGGGCUUUGGAUUAUUUGUUUGUUUGUUUGUUUAUUUAUUUAUUUAUUUAUUUAUUUAUUUUUUGUUCUUUUUUUCGGAGCUGGGGACCGAACCCAGGGCCUUGCGCUUCCUAGUGGAUUUUAUUUAUUUAAAGACAUUUUAUUUUUUUAUUUUGGAGGUUGUUUUUUAGAUAACAGCUUGACAAAAAAGGGUGAGGAGACUCCCUAAUGGGGCAGUGAGGGAGGAGUUUAAGCUAUGUUCUGUUGGUUGAACUGUCUGCAGGACCUUGCAUGAAGCUAGAACUGAACAUAAUUAUGGGGGUGGUGCUGUGGAGGAAUGGGGACUCUGUGAGGAGAGGGGGCCGGCGUGUGUGGAACGACACCCUCAGUCUUUCAGGGGAAGCCCUGGGGUUUGCAGUGUGCCAGCAGCAGGUUCUCUGGGCACAGGGCCUGGCAUCGGAUCCUGUGCUCCUUCAGUUCUCAGGCCUGUGGCAGGGCUGUAGACGCAUAAACCUCAGACUCUGCCUGAGGGUGAGCAUAGAUCCUGGAGCACUGGUGGAGCAGGCGCUGCCGAUGGCUAGCAUAGAUUCCUGCACGUAGUUGGAGGCUGGCUGGUGCAGCACCUCCCAGGCGACGGGCACCACACAGUCCCACUCGUGACCAGGGGCUGUGAGAGUGCGGCACAAGGCCCUGGCUGGGUGUGUCAGGGAGGUAAGCAUGCUGCAGCCUCAAAGGCUUCAGGCUUGCUGGAUGUUUGAAGUGCAUGGGCACAGACAAGCUGUAAUAUGAGAUUGAUUCGGGUUCUGGGGUUUUGCAGAUCUUCACAGCAUAGGUGUUGCCAGGGGCCUCAGAGCAGAUGGUGUAGUAGCAAAUUGCAUUCCCCAAGUGACAAGAAGGCUCAUUGCAUAUCAGCUUGAAGAGUGACCAGUUAUUCUCCUUGAAGUGCAGUUCCUUUUUCUGGUCACCCAUGAAGAGGUCUUCACACUUGGUCACUAGGUGGGCCAGGGACUAUGUGUAGAGGCCACCAAGCUUGGCAUAGGUGCCCUCGUCCUCGCUGCUGCCGGAGGCCUGGCUGGACACACCGAGCCGGGAAGACGAGGUGGGUGGCUGCUCUGCACUAGAGACUGGGACUUCCACAGUCACCUUUGCUUUGGCUGCUUGCCCACCCCAGAGCUGGAGCCCAGGGGGCACUGACUUUGAAAGCUUUCUCCAAAGGCCCAGGCGAGGAGAAGACAUGGUGGGAAUGGUUUUCAGAGUUCAAGGAGUAGCUAAAAGGAGGGUCAUCACGGGCACAAACACGGGCUUCUGAGUGGCUUAGGUUCAGCUUGGGACUAGCUGUCUGUUGCUUAGGGGAAGCUUGGGUGCAGAAGAAGCCCUCAGGGAAAGAGGCUGCAUGGCUCACUGUCUUUUUCUGGGGUGGAGGAGGAGGCUGCACAGGACCACUGGGGGACACACCCUCUGUGGAGCUGAUGGAAAAGGGAUGGGAGCCUGUGUUUUCCCCACUGACGCUGAGUUGGCUCAUAUUUGGGCCUCCACUGCAGGUCUUGGAGUCCAAGGCUAGCGUGUUGAGGGAGCCUGUCUGUGGUGAAGCUGACUCGGGCCCCCUGAGGGAGGCCGAGGCUUUCUGCAGUGCUCUGGCUCACUGUCUCGCGUCGUCGUCGGAGCAGCUCUUGCUCAUUUUAACAGGGGCCUGACUUUGGAGGUGGGGAGGAAGUGAGGAUGCCUCUAUUCUGCCUGUGUCUUUCAGGAAGUCAUAGGCAAAGGAAGCGGAUUUGCUCAUCCCAGCAUUAGUUUUGCUGUUCUGCCCAGAGGAGCCAUCAGUGAGAUGGAGGAGGAGCUGGUUGAGGAGUCUGAAUGGUCUGCAGUAUCCGUUUCCUCCUCUCUCCCUAGUCUGGUAUCUUAGCUCCCUCCAGUCCAUGGCUGAAGAGGAGGUGGUAGGGGACACUUGGCAGGGUCACCGGUGACAACACCAUUGUGUCUGGCAGGAAGUUAGAUCAGUACGGACAGCUGGGUUCUAACUCUGCUGCUACCUGUGUUCCAAUACCUGCCUCUAGAUCCACAUUAGACGCCAUCCGUGGCUGAGGGCGCCAUCCGCGGCUGUAGGUGCCAUCCGUGGGCUUUGCUUUACUCUUUUAUUUAUUCUAAUGUAAGACUCAAAAAUGCUGCUGCUGUCACUGCUGUCUUCCAGAAUCCUUUUCUAAAUAGGCAGUUUAAAUAACACUAGUAAAUCCUCCCUUAAUAAUAAUUCCCCCAGACAAAGCACGAUGUAAGGAAACUGCCAGAGGGGACCUGGAAGGCAAGCAGGCGGCUGGUAAUGGGCCAGUUGAUUAUUGAGGGUUAGAGCUCAUCCUGGUGCUUGGAAGCAUCAGGUCUGCAGGCUCCCUAGAGCCGCUGCCCAGCCAAGUCCUUUGGUGGCUCCUUUGGGGUAGGGGCAAUAGUGACUCCUUAAGCUUUAGGGCAGGAGUGACAUAGGUUCUCCUGUCACUCUCGGUGACAGAGAAAUGUCAUCAUGAAUCUUGUAUGUGGAUUAAUUCUUCAUAAAACAUGUUGAAAUUUUCCUUAACUUUUUACUUUGAAGACUUUAAGCUGACACCUAAGUUUACCAGAUCUUCUGGUUUGGAUCUGACAUUUUCCUUUAAGUUCAUGUUGGGGAUGCUUUUUCCCCAGCAGGUGAUGGGCGAUGCUUUGGGGGGUUGUGACUGGCAUGGUUGGUCAUGCAGGGUGUUCAUCUGAAGGUUAUGCUUACCAGUGUCUUUACCUUGCUCACUGCCUUUUGGUGUACCUUGAUGUGAGCAGCUUCUACCGUAUCUUCUCGGCACAGUGAACCUCUCCAUGCCUCAUCUACCGUAAUGGACUAAAAUUCCCUCAAACUGGGAACCAAGUCGCUGAGCCAAAACUUACUCUCCUUCCAUUAGGUGUUGCUGGCAGGCGUUGCUGUAAUGACACACAGGUUUCCAGUGCUAGAGGUGUUUGUGUUUUACACACUUUACACAUGUUUACUUUCAGUCUUUUUUUCCUGUACAGACACAUGCAGGUACACACAUCAUUAUAUGAAUAUUUGAAAGGAUUUUCCCACAUCGUCCUAGUUUGCUUUCUAUUGCUGUUGUAUACACCAUGACCAAGAACAACUCGGGGAGGAAAAGGGUUUAUUUCAGCUGACAGCACAUUCCAUCAUAAAGAGAAGGCAGGAAACUGGAGGCAGGAACUGAAGCAGAGGUCAUUGAAGUGUACUACCCCCUGGCUGGUCCGCUGCAGAUUACUUAACCUGUUUUUUUUACAUAACUCAAGACCACCGCCAGGGGUGGCACUGCUUUCAGUGAUCUGGUCCCUUCUACAUCAAUCAUUGAUUAAGAAAAUGCCCCCACUGACUUGCCUGCAGGCCAUCUAUCUGUUGGCUGCGUUUUCUUAUCAAAGUUCCUUUUUUCCAAAUGACCUUGACUUUGUUGACAAAAAGUCAAAACAACAACAUUGCUAUUUUUGCUCCCUAACCCCUGAAGCACUGAUCUCCCAGAACAAGGAUGUUCUUUCUCAUUUCCUCAACGUCACUGCGUGGCUGAGAUAACUGAUAGCAGGGCUGUCGUUGAACAGUCACAAUCCCUUAAGUGUUCCUAAUGUGCCUUGUAUGGUGAUCAGGAGCUAGGCAAGGUUUGUACUUUGCUCUUGGUUGGGCUGCCUUGAGUCUUCGGUCUGAGCUCUUUUGGUGCACUGUGCUUUGUGUUGGAAAUGCAGGGUUGGGCGAGCCUACAUUCUUGCUUUUAAAGAGGCCAUGGCCAAGAGGCAGCAAUGUUAUGAUUUAGUAUUAAGGAGUCAGAACUCAUGGGGCCCUCUGCAGGCAGCCUUUUUCCAGAGUUUCAUUUUGCUUUUCUAACAGAUGCCAUCCAGCCUCUUGGGCUGCAUCCUUACUGUGCCCAGCUGGCUUCUGGGCGUCCUUCUGUCCCAGGCAUGUCUGAAGCCCACAGUGUGAGCUCUCUUUAUGCACCCUGGAGCCCAGAAGCUCGCAUCACUCUGUCUGGGAACACCUAGCAUACUUUCCUAAUAAUUUGUCUUCAACUUUGGGGGUUAAAGGGAACACAGCAGAGAGGGGCUCUAAUUGUGUGCCAACUAACAUUAGUGACAAACAGCUGAAGGAGUCUGGUUUUAUGUUGCUGUGCCAAUUCUUGCAGUCUUUCGAUGUCAAGGGGAAAAUAAUUGUUCCUUAGAAAUGUGGUUCACUUGGCUAGAUCCCUGGGGCUGCCAUUGCAGCAAUAGCAAUGAGUAUGUCUGAGCGGCCAUGCUGUGGUGGCUUAGUUCACUACUUUUAUGCUAAGCCCUUGCUUUAGUCCUAAAAUUCCAAGCCCAAGGCUGUUCAUGGAGCCUGUCACACUCCCAGAUUUUCUGCCCAGUAGGGGUCUCAGGCUGGAAUGCCCAUAGACAGGGCUCACAGAAGUGAGGAACUGUGCAUGUCUGAGGGAUGAAGAAGAGUGUCUUUGGAGGAGGAACUAGGGGAGGCACUUUCCCUGUCUAAAGGGGUAGCAGCCUGAACCUGGUCAUUGCAAGACUUCCCAGGCAGCUUUUGCUCAUGGCCUUUUCAAAAUGAACCCAGAUCUUUAGGUGAAGUAGUCUUGAAUUGUUUGCACCUAUUUGGAAACUCCUUGCGCCUCUGAGGUUUACGUAAGCCCGAGAACCUCUGACCCAUUGUUCCAGCUCAUGUGCUGUAAUAAUACACUCUCUUCAGUAGCAUUUCUGUGUCUGCUGUGUGGCCUCCACUGCUGCAUCUUGUUUUUAUUAUUAUUAUUAUCAUUUUAACAUUAUUCCUUCAUUCACAGUCUACUCUCAGCCUGUGGUCUCAAGAGGCUGAGAUUUGAUGAGACUAUUAUGAUUUGUUCCAAAGCCAAAUUGAGUUUCAGCUUGGUGUUCAGAUAGUAUGUCUCAGCCUGCCAGCACUGCAGCAGCGUGAACACUGACUGUGUGUAUGCCCUUCCAGCUGGUCCUUCCCGCCUUCCUCAAGAGCAGGGUGCAAGAGAAGAAGAGCAAUCUGAUCUCCCAGUUGCCCUCCAGUGGUUUCUGGGUCCUGACAGCCUGCAUUGUCACAGAGGGCUGUGUGGCUUAGGGUUUGGCUCCUCAGGUUUGCUAUGCUGUACUUACAUUUGUCAAGAAAGCAUUCUUUUUAGUAUAAGACAUUUAAUUCAUCUUGAAGUCCUCGUGUUUAGACCGUUAUUAUAAAUCCCCCUCUGAGGAGCACACGCAGCGGUGGGAGUGCUGGUGUUUCUCUCCCGAGGGAUUCAUGUUUGUGUGAACUUCAGCAUGCGUGAGUGUGGAAGCCAGAGCUUGAGAUCAAGUGUCUGAGUCAGUUGUUCUCUGUAGACAUUAGUUUUUUCCAACCUACUUUAAUAACAGUCAACAACCACUCACCAGAUGGGUGGAAGAGAAAAGUUAUUAGGCUAUGGGGGAAGCAGACCUGUUUGGCAAUAGCACUCUGUAGGUGAGCUCAGUGUUCUUUGUCAGCAGUUCAGUCCCAUAGCAAACACCAAAUGCGGUCAGCAGUUUCAGCCCAGUCUUCUUGCAGGCAGACACCACUCACAAACCAGCAGCUGCUGUCCAGUGCUGAGGAAACUGCAAGGCUCACCAAUUGCCUUAGCUGCUAAAGCACAGGAAUCCCCUCUCAAUGGCCGUUACCACAAGCUGUAAGGUGAACCAAUACAUGCUUGAUGUUAGUGAAGAGUAGCGAGGCAGAGCAGAGCAGAGCAGAGCAGAGCAGAGCAGAGCAGAGCAGUGCUCCCAUUCCCACUGUCUGUGGGUCAUAGUUAUACUCAUAGUUAUACUCCGUCCUCACUGGUCCUUCCCCUGUGUCUGCUCCAGGAAAACAUCUUUCCCCUGUGUCUGCUUCAGGAAAACAGCCUUUCACCUGUGUGCCUAGCAAAACAUCAUUGGACAUAACUGACUUUCUGAAGACGCUAGAAGUUUCCACUUCAGCGCUCUACCUUAUGCGUGAAGCAGGGUCUCUCACUGAACCAGGGACUCAUGGUUUGGGUAGACUGGCUGGGCAGCAAACUCAGGGUUUCUCUUGUCUCUGGGAUCUCAGGGGCCUGCUGCCGUACCUAGCUCUUUAUUUGGGUUCUGGAGAAUGAACUCAGAUCUUUAUGCUUAUGUUGCAAGCUUUUAUAAACCAAGACGUCUUCUGAGCCAAGAAAUUCUUUUUAAACUUUAUAUUAUGAAGUAAUUUUAGAUUUAUAAAAUAAUUAUAAAGAUAAUAAAAUAAUUCCCAUUUUUUUUGCUUGGGUCACUAGUUACUAAUAAUAUUUUAUAAUAAUUGGGACACAUUUAUCUGUCUACAUAUAUGUGUGUCUUAUUUACCCACCUAACCUUUUGUAGUGUAGGUAGUCAAGUUAAAAGCAAGCAUCAUGAUUUUUUUCCUUAAACACUUUUCAUACAUGGAUACUUCCUUACAUGACUGCAGUGUGGCAGGAAGUGAGCACUGCAGCAUCAUUGUGACUGCAGUGUGGGUGUAACAUACAGGAAGUGAGCACUGCAGCAUCAUUGUGACUGCAGUGUGGGUGUAACAUACAGGAAGUGAGCACUGCAGCAUCAGUGACUGCAGUAUGUGUGUAACAUACAGGAAGUGAGCACUGCAGUAUCAUCGUGACUGCAGUAUGUGUGUAACAUACAGGAAGUGAGCACUGCAGUAUCAUCGUGACUGCAGUAUGGGUGUAACAUACAGGAAGUGAGCACUGCAGCAUCAUCAUGACUGCAGUAUGUGUGUAACAUACAGGAAGUGAGCACUGCAGCAUCAGUGACUGCAGUAUGUGUGUAACAUACAGGAAGUGAGCACUGCAGUAUCAGUGACUGCAGUAUGUGUGUAACAUACAGGAAGUGAGCACUGCAGUAUCAGUGACUGCAGUAUGUGUGUAACAUACAGGAAGUGAGCACUGCAGUAUCAUGACUGCAGUAUGUGUGUAACAUACAGGAAGUGAGCACUGCAGUAUCAUGACUGCAGUAUGUGUGUAACAUACAGGAAGUGAGCACUGCAGUAUCAGUGACUGCAGUAUGGGUGUAACAUACAGGAAGUGAGCACUGCAGCAUCAUCGUGACUGCAGUAUGUGUGUAACAUACAGGAAGUGAGCACUGCAGUAUCAUGACUGCAGUAUGUGUGUAACAUACAGGAAGUGAGCACUGCAGUAUCAGUGACUGCAGUAUGUGUGUAACAUACAGGAAGUGAGCACUGCAGCAUCAGUGACUGCAGUAUGUGUGUAACAUACAGGAAGUGAGCACUGCAGUAUCAUCGUGACUGCAGUAUGUGUGUAACAUACAGGAAGUGAGCACUGCAGCAUCAGUGACUGCAGUAUGUGUGUAACAUACAGGAAGUGAGCACUGCAGUAUCAUCGUGACUGCAGUAUGUGUGUAACAUACAGGAAGUGAGCACUGCAGCAUCAGUGACUGCAGUAUGUGUGUAACAUACAGGAAGUGAGCACUGCAGUAUCAUCGUGACUGCAGUAUGUGUGUAACAUACAGGAAGUGAGCACUGCAGUAUCAUCGUGACUGCAGUACGGGUGUAACAUACAGGAAGUGAGCACUGCAGUAUCAUCGUGACUGCAGUAUGUGUGUAACAUACAGGAAGUGAGCACUGCAGCAUCAUCAUGACUGCAGUAUGUGUGUAACAUACAGGAAGUGAGCACUGCAGCAUCAGUGACUGCAGUAUGUGUGUAACAUACAGGAAGUGAGCACUGCAGCAUCAGUGACUGCAGUAUGUGUGUAACAUACAGGAAGUGAGCACUGCAGCAUCAGUGACUGCAGUACGGGUGUAACAUACAGGAAGUGAGCACUGCAGUAUCAUCGUGACUGCGGUACGGGUGUAGCAUACAGGAAGUGAGCACUGCAGUAUCAGUGACUGCAGUAUGGGUGUAACAUACAGGAAGUGAGCACUGCAGCAUCAUCAUGACUGCAGUAUGUGUGUAACAUACAGGAAGUGAGCACUGCAGCAUCAUCAUGACUGCAGUGUGGGUGUAACAUACAGGAAGUGAGCACUGCAGCAUCAUGACUGCAGUACGCGUGUAACAUACAGGAAGUGAGGACUGCAGCAUCAGUGACUGCAGUACGGGUGUAACAUACAGGAAGUGAGCACUGCAGUAUCAUCGUGACUGCAGUACGGGUGUAGCAUACAGGAAGUGAGCACUGCAGUAUCAGUGACUGCAGUAUGUGUGUAACAUACAGGAAGUGAGCACUGCAGCAUCAUCAUGACUGCAGUAUGUGUGUAACAUACAGGAAGUGAGCACUGCAGCAUCAUCAUGACUGCAGUGUGGGUGUAACAUACAGGAAGUGAGCACUGCAGCAUCAUCAUGACUGCAGUGUGGGUGUAACAUACAGGAAGUGAGCACUGCAGCAUCAUCAUGACUGCAGUGUGGGUGUAACAUACAGGAAGUGAGCACUGCAGCAUCAUCAUGACUGCAGUGUGGGUGUAACAUACAGGAAGUGAGGACUGCAGCAUCAGUGACUGCAGUAUGGGUGUAACAUACAGGAAGUGAGCACUGCAGUAUCAGUGACUGCAGUAUGUGUGUAACAUACAGGAAGUGAGCACUGCAGUAUCAUCGUGACUGCAGUAUGUGUGUAACAUACAGGAAGUGAGCACUGCAGCAUCAGUGACUGCAGUAUGUGUGUAACAUACAGGAAGUGAGCACUGCAGUAUCAUCGUGACUGCAGUACGGGUGUAACAUACAGGAAGUGAGCACUGCAGCAUCAUCAUGACUGCAGUAUGGGUGUAACAUACAGGAAGUGAGCACUGCAGUAUCAUCGUGACUGCAGUAUGUGUGUAACAUACAGGAAGUGAGCACUGCAGCAUCAUCGUGACUGCAGUACGGGUGUAACAUACAGGAAGUGAGCACUGCAGUAUCAGUGACUGCAGUAUGUGUGUAACAUACAGGAAGUGAGCACUGCAGUAUCAGUGACUGCAGUAUGUGUGUAACAUACAGGAAGUGAGCACUGCAGUAUCAGUGACUGCAGUAUGUGUGUAACAUACAGGAAGUGAGCACUGCAGUAUCAUGACUGCAGUAUGUGUGUAACAUACAGGAAGUGAGCACUGCAGUAUCAUGACUGCAGUAUGUGUGUAACAUACAGGAAGUGAGCACUGCAGUAUCAGUGACUGCAGUAUGGGUGUAACAUACAGGAAGUGAGCACUGCAGCAUCAUCGUGACUGCAGUAUGUGUGUAACAUACAGGAAGUGAGCACUGCAGCAUCAUCGUGACUGCAGUAUGUGUGUAACAUACAGGAAGUGAGCACUGCAGUAUCAUGACUGCAGUAUGUGUGUAACAUACAGGAAGUGAGCACUGCAGUAUCAUGACUGCAGUAUGUGUGUAACAUACAGGAAGUGAGCACUGCAGUAUCAGUGACUGCAGUAUGGGUGUAACAUACAGGAAGUGAGCACUGCAGUAUCAUCGUGACUGCAGUAUGUGUGUAACAUACAGGAAGUGAGCACUGCAGCAUCAGUGACUGCAGUAUGUGUGUAACAUACAGGAAGUGAGCACUGCAGUAUCAGUGACUGCAGUACGGGUGUAACAUACAGGAAGUGAGCAUUGCAGCAUCAUCAUGACUGCAGUAUGUGUGUAACAUACAGGAAGUGAGCACUGCAGUAUCAUCGUGACUGCAGUAUGUGUGUAACAUACAGGAAGUGAGCACUGCAGCAUCAUCGUGACUGCAGUACGGGUGUAACAUACAGGAAGUGAGCACUGCAGUAUCAUGACUGCAGUAUGUGUGUAACAUACAGGAAGUGAGCACUGCAGUAUCAUGACUGCAGUAUGUGUGUAACAUACAGGAAGUGAGCACUGCAGUAUCAGUGACUGCAGUAUGUGUGUAACAUACAGGAAGUGAGCACUGCAGUAUCAGUGACUGCAGUAUGGGUGUAACAUACAGGAAGUGAGCACUGCAGCAUCAUGACUGCAGUAUGUGUGUAACAUACAGGAAGUGAGCACUGCAGCAUCAUCGUGACUGCAGUAUGUGUGUAACAUACAGGAAGUGAGCACUGCAGUAUCAUGACUGCAGUAUGUGUGUAACAUACAGGAAGUGAGCACUGCAGUAUCAGUGACUGCAGUAUGUGUGUAACAUACAGGAAGUGAGCACUGCAGCAUCAGUGACUGCAGUAUGUGUGUAACAUACAGGAAGUGAGCACUGCAGCAUCAGUGACUGCAGUAUGUGUGUAACAUACAGGAAGUGAGCACUGCAGUAUCAGUGACUGCAGUAUGUGUGUAACAUACAGGAAGUGAGCACUGCAGUAUCAUCGUGACUGCAGUAUGUGUGUAACAUACAGGAAGUGAGCACUGCAGUAUCAUCGUGACUGCAGUAUGUGUGUAACAUACAGGAAGUGAGCACUGCAGCAUCAGUGACUGCAGUAUGUGUGUAACAUACAGGAAGUGAGCACUGCAGUAUCAGUGACUGCAGUAUGUGUGUAACAUACAGGAAGUGAGCACUGCAGCAUCAUCGUGACUGCAGUAUGUGUGUAACAUACAGGAAGUGAGCACUGCAGCAUCAUCGUGACUGCAGUAUGUGUGUAACAUACAGGAAGUGAGCACUGCAGUAUCAGUGACUGCAGUAUGUGUGUAACAUACAGGAAGUGAGCACUGCAGCAUCAUCGUGACUGCAGUACGGGUGUAACAUACAGGAAGUGAGCAUUGUGUGGUGUUACUGUGUAGGAUGCUUGGUAUAUGUUUGUCAACUUUUUGUGACUGUGGGAAAUUUCUGAAAUACUCAGCUCAGAGGAAGGAAAAUGUAUUUUAGCUCACAAUUUCAGUUGUCUCAGUCGGUCAUCAUCUGGCCCUGUGGUUUCAGUGUUACAGAGAGAUAGAAAGGCCUCAGGCAGCCAGAGAGACACAAACGGAAUGGGAACAGAAUAUAUGUCUGUCCAGGGCAUGGUCUCAGCGACCUGCGUCUUCCAGUGAGGCCCUACCUCCAGAAUGCCAUCAGGGCUUUGUGUACUGGCUCCUGAAAAGCUUUUAGAAGGGAGCACUUCCCAGGAGUCCAUCUGUUGGCAAGCAUAGGGCCCUCUGGGGACACAUCAUGUCUAAACCAUAGCACUGCAUGGUCCCAUUCCAUCAGUCGAACUCACUGAGCCUUCAGCGACAGACAGUGUUCUCUGCCAGGCCCAACGCUUGAAUGUCUUACCUUUACACUUUUGUAAUCUGGAAAGUUUUCUUGGUUUUCCUGUCUUCUGGUCAGAGGCAUAAUUUGGGUUUGUGAGCUGUUUGCUUAUGAUUUCAUUUAGAUUAUUUGUUUUUGACAGGCCUUUAAAGGUUCUUAAUUCAUUUUGUCUUGGCCUAAUAAAGGGACAGCAACUACCAAGUAGACUUCAGGUCUCACAGGUGGCAAAGCUAAUUCCAGAAGGUCAGCGUCAGGAAUAGAUGUGGCAUCUUAUGGCCUACGAGGCUAGCAGUCACACAUGUUAAAACAGCAAACCCAGGUUUGAAGGUCUUGGCAUUGCAUGAGAAAUGUGAACUUGUCCGCAGACCCACCAUAGCAGGGCUGAGUUCAUGCAGUCUGCUGCUGUAAUGGCUGUCCCCCUGGACAGGAGUAUACUCUCUUGCACCAUGGCUCUGGCCACUGUAGGCUGUGGCUUUGAGACUAUUUUUGGGCGAAGUGUCAUUUGCAUAUCUCUUCUCUAGUUUACAUCCACAGCAGGCAGAAUUACUGUUUUUAGCAAAUGUAGGUUGUGACAUGGUUGUAGUAGCUUCUAGAACUGGAUCCUAAGAAAGCCCUGUUCAGCAGGAGGCUGCUGUGACCCCCAACUAAUCAGAUAAAGGUAAUUCCCUAGGUUCAGGGACCGGGGCCAGCCCCAGGAGAGGUGACACGUGCUUUCCGAGGACACAGGUAGGAUGUAUCUGAGGAAGAGGGUUCUGAGCUCAGGAUCGUCUGAGGUGUGUCGUCUGUCAUUCAUUAUCUCUGAGUUACUGACGCUGUUUGGUCUGCUUACUUGACUGGAUCUGGAGUGUAGGACCCAGCCUGCCAUUCUGACUAGAACUUACUAGGCGACUAAUGAGGCGAGAUGGGUUUGAUAGAAGGGAUUAGGAAUAUUGUGAGGAAAAGAGAGAAGGCAUUAGAAUCUAAGCACACGUUUUCCCUCUCCCUCCCAUACCCCUCCCCCCGCCCCCAAGUCUCUCUAAGGAGACGAUGCUGCACUGGUCAAGUCACAGAGCAGCAGAGAAGUCUGAGUCUCUGGGAAGCCCUUGAAUGUUGUGUUAUUUGAGGAAUCUGGAAAGAAAAGAAAAUGCCCAAGACUUCUUAUGUCCUCUUGUGUCCUGGGCAGCAGUUAAAGGAGAACGCUGCUCCUGCUGGGUGCUUGUCACCCAUGUAGUGUGACAGGAGGGCUCAUGGCAGUGAGUGGAUGCAGAGGGUGACUCAGAAGUGCCUGGAGGUUUGUUAAAGUUGAAAUUCCAGAUUCUACUCCAGGAAAUGUGGUUCCCGGAAGGGUCUGGGAACCUGAGUUGUUCUUCUAGUGUCUACCCUUUAUAUACUAAUGUGCGUUUCCCAUAAGUGAAGCAUUCUCCUUGGGCACUGCAGUGCAGUGCUGAGGGUCAGCAGGCAGCACUUCCUCACACUUGGAUACUGCACUGCAGUGCGUCUGUCCUAGAGCUCUCCUGUCUUGCAGGACAAUGGACACCAGAGUGGCCCAUGCAAUUGCCAUCUCUCUCUAGCUUUUCACUCUUAGGACCUUGCCAUUUUUAAAGAUGGCAACCAGUUUAUUUUGCAAAACCAUUUCAGUGGUCAAAUCGCCCCAGCUUUGCCCAGUGAGGAUAUUACUAUGUUCCUUUGUGACAGUCUCAUAAGUUUACCACAAUCUCUUGAAUUUUGACAGUAUUUUCCUUGAGUAGCAAGAGCCUGCCUUCAAUGGUCUGAUAAAUUUGGCUACUUUUUAAAAUUUAAUUAUUUUGGACAGGUUUUUCUAGGUAGCCAUGUUUAAAUUGGAGCUCACUCUAGACUGGGGAGACCUCAAACUCACAGAUAAUCCCAUGAGCUAGGAUUAGUGGCUUGUGCUGCCACCACCACCCGGCUAAAUUUGGGUAUUUGAUCAGCUCUCCUUUAAAUAAUUCACCCCUCCUGGCUUUGGAGCUGAGCUGUUCAGGAAGGGAAGGCCCCGCCCCCUUGCCACCCCCCACAGGAGGUUUGAUUUGUUAAGAUGAAGCAAUCCCAGGUCCGUCCUUGGGUGUCCUUGGCCAGUUUUCAACUGUGUGAGUAUCCCCUGGGAUGAUGCCUGUGAGGCUCAUGGGUGUUUGACAAGGUGUUGAGUUCCAGACAGAAAAUCAUGUGUGCCAUGGUGCAGGAGUCAGAAGGCAUGGCACGGGGAGGGACUGUGAGGGUCCAGCCUGGAGAGCAUAUCUGUGGAGGAGGAGCUCCAUAAACUUGCACCAGUUUGAACAGAGCAUCCUCAGCCAUUAUCUGUUGCCACUCUGGUCUUGUAACCAUGAUGGAAACUGGCUGGAAAUCUGUGACCCUCUUAGGAUUGUUCCCUGUAUGACAAAGGUAGUAUGGAGGGCUAGUUCCCUUCUAUCUGGAGUCAGAACUGCCAGUUUGAACCCUGGCUCUUGUCAUUUCCUAGGAAGAAUACUUAGCCUCACUUUGUCACUUAAGCCUCCACAGCCCUUCUCCUGCAGCAGCCCUUGCUUAUUGUAGGCUCCGGGUUGUCACAGAACUGCACAAAGGUGUGACUGCAGCAGUGUUUGGUAGGGUACUACAAAAUGUGUGUUGUCAUAACAGCAGACUCCAGGAUUAGAAAGCCUUCACAGGGGGAGGUCUGCUGGAGUCUAGCAGUAUAUGACGGUAGCUUUGAUAGCAUAGUUUACAGAGAUCUUGACUGCUAGGAAUAUCUUUCAGCACCAUUAAACUAGGUGCCUUUUGUUAAAUCCAAAGAUGGGAGGAGAAAGAUUCCCAGGCCAAAUCAUCAUGACCAAAUUAACUAAAGCAAGCAAUUAAUUAAAGCAAGAUUUUUAUUCAUGUACAUGGGCUAAGGCAGGUUCCAGAAGUCAACAGUGGGUGUGAAGAAGACAAGGCUUGUUAAAGGGUAGGGGUUUCCAAAUGGGUGCUUUGGUGGGCAGAAUAGGUGGGGUUAAGGAGCAGAACAUAGCAAGGUGGUCAAAACAAGUUACAACAAGCUUUUGAAACAAAGGUAGGGUUGCAAGAUGGUCAUUACAAUUUGGAACAAAAAUAUGAUUGCAAAGUAGUUAUAACAACAGGUGGUCAUAACAACAAGUGACCAUGAUGACCUUUUGAAACAAAGGCUGGCUGCUGUUUCCUGGAACAGGCAGUACAGAACAUUUGUAGUUAAGAUUACAGGUGGAGUAUAGUCUAGUCCUUGAGAAACAGAGGUUUAAUCACAAACAGUUUGUCGUCAUCAUAAGGUAGCUUGAAAGCCUAAAAUGGCAGCCGGCUGGUCAUCGCUGGUUCCUUUGAGGUAGUCCUCACGGUCUUGUGUAGCCAGGCCUCAGUCACUGUCUUCUAGUAGCUGGGUGUGGUUAGAUGUGAUGUCUACUUAGUAUCACUGGCUAGUAGAGUUGAGGUACCCUUAAGCCAAGCUUUUGACUGGCCCAGGAGAACAGAUUUUUGUAGAUGUGUCUCAUUGUGGUGUUUUGAUGCUAGAAUUACCAAAUGCACUUAACAGGUUCGUUGGUUUUGUUUUGAGUAAUUAUUCUUUGAAUGGUGCUGUCUGGGGUUUCUGGUUGUUUAUUCUGACAUCCGGCAGGCGUAAUUGCUUUGACUUGCACACAUUAAUUACUGCAGUCACUGGAAGCUGUAGGAGAGGCACUUGCUGCCACCUACUCCAUGAUUUACAUCUCCCCUGAGCUUUGAAAGGAAAAUGCAGGGUGGCCAGCAGGCAGAUCGGGUGACAGCUGGCUGGCAAGAUGGUCUGGAAUCCUGUAGAUGAAGACCUUUGGACUUCUCUCCACCUCUGUGGCUGCUACCCAGUCCUCUCAGUCCUGGCCACCAUCCUUCUUGGCUGGAUGGCUGCAGUGGUUGGCCAUUAGAAGUCAGCUGGCUUAUCUGCUGUGUUUACAGCCAUACUGGAUUUCUCACAUAGCUCCACAUUCUCCCCCAAACCCUCCCUUGGCUGCUCCCAUUCCUUAUCCUGGCUCAGGGGCCUUCAUGAUUCAUUCCUGGCUGUAGUCUUUCUAGCUUCCUGGGUCUCCCCAGCCCUAUCCUCUGGUCUAGUUUUGGGUCUGGCAGCCUGCCUAGAACAUUGUUAGAAAUGCAGACUUCCAGCCCUCACCCCCUCUGAAUCAAAUUUGCAUUUUAAUUGACCCACUGGUGGCUUAGUGCAUCCAGUUCUCCAUCCUGAUUCUGGGAGUUGUGUAGACUCUUCUGUAAAACAUUCUGCCACCCAGGCUCCUCCUAGACCACACCCUCUCCUCCUUCCCACCCCUUCUAUUUUUAUAGGGUACAUUGUAGUUUCAAACAGUAUUGCUUACCUGUAAGGCCACAGCUCUAUUCUAAAUGUCACCUCAGUAAGGAUGGGGAUCCAUUCUGUCCUGUAACCCCAAAUCCAUGUAUCUGAACACUGGCACUGCCAUGACAUCCCAAGAUGUUGUUAGAAGAACUGUACAUAUUGCAUCAGUCCCCAGGGCUCCUUGAUCUGCUGUUAUUUAGAAAGGUAAACUGAGGCACAGAGAGGACAUCUGUCUGUGCACGUAGCUAGAUACAAACUUAUUAGGCUUGGAUGUCACUUGGACAGGGAAUGGAGGGUCAGACAAAACUAAUAACCUUGGGCAAGUUAUUUGAUUUCUAAAAUUCUUUUUUUUCAUUUGAAGUAAUGACCUUUAAUUUUCAAAAUAGUGAUACAUUUAUGUCACCUCACACUUUGUGACCAUUAUGUACUUCCUGGUAUUAUCCAUGGUGUUUUUUUUUUUUUUUUACUUUGAGCCUUUCGUUUGGCUAAAAGUUAAAGUUUGUGCUAGUUGGUUCUAUACAUCAAAGCCACGUCUAUAGUAGCACAGUAAACAUUCCAAAACAGAAAGAACCAUGGCACAAAGCAAAGACCAUCUGCUUUCUCUAAGGAGGCUUUGGCAGCACAGUAGCUGUGGAACUUCAUGGAGUAAAUUCGGGGAGAAUGUCACAUGACUGAGACAGGGAGAAUGUCACAUGACUGAGAUGGGUGUUCUGGACCUGAAUGAUGCUGUGCCUGAGAUAGAGCUGUAGUUGCAAGAUGGCCCGAAUGCCCAAGCACUAGGUGGGCUCCUGCACUGCACACCUGUAAUCCUAGCUCCUGGGUGGUGGAGGAGGAGGCUCAAGAGCAGUCUUUGUAGAGGCAGUUGGAAGCUAACCUGGGCUACAUGAAAGCCUAUCUUUUUCUUUUUUUAAUUCUUUAGACUUAGCUCAGUUUUUUUAUUGGCUAUUUUUAAUUUACAUUUCAGAUGUUAUUCCCUGUCCUGGUUUCCCACCCAUAAGCCCCCUAUCCCAUCUCCUUCUUCUAUUAGGGUUCUCCCUCCCCAAACACCCACUACCUCCCCACCCUGACAUUCCCCUAUACUAGGGGGGCCAGCCUUGGCAGGACGAGGGGCUUCUCCUCCCACUGGUGCCCAACAAGGGCAUCCUCUGCUACAUAUGCAGCUGGAGCCAUAGGUCAGUCCAUGUGUACUCUUUGGGUAAUGGUUUAGUCCCUGGAAGUUCUGGUUGGUUGGUUUUGUUGUUCUUAUGGGGUUGCAAGCCCCUUCAUCUCCUUCAAUGCUUUCUCUAAUUCCUCCAACAGGGAUCCCAUUCUCAGUUCAAUGAUUUGCUGCUAGCAUUCACCUUUGUAUUUGUCAUGCUCUGACUCCUGUAUAUAUCAGACUCCUGUCAACAUGCACUUCAUGGCUUCAUCAACUAGGUUUAUUGACUGUAUAUAUAUGGGCUAGAUCCCCAGGAGGAGCAGGCUCUGAAUGACCAUUCCUUCAGUCUCUGCUCCAAACUUUGUCUCCAUAUCCCUUCCUAUGAAUAUUUUUGUUCCCCCUUCUAAGAAGGACUGAAGCAUCUGCACUUUGAUUGUCCUUCUUGAGCUUCAUGUGGUCUGUGGAUUGUAUCUUGAAUAAUUCGAGCUUUUGGGCUAAUAUCCAUUUAUCAGUGAGUGCAUACCAUGUGUGUUUUGUUGUGACUGGGUUACCUCACUCAGGAUGAUAUUUUUUAGCUCCAUCCAUUUGCCUGUGAAUUUCAUGAAGUCAUUGUUUUUGAUAGCUGAGUAGUACUCCAUUAUGUAGAUGUACCACAUUUUCUGUAUCCAUUCCUCUGUUGAAGGGCAUCUGGGUUCUUUCCAGCUUCUGGCUAUUAUAAAUAAGGCUGCUAUGAACAUAGUGGAACAUGUGUUUUUGUUGUAUGUUAGGACAUCUUUUGGGUAUAUGCCCAGGAGAGGUAUAGCUGGAUCCUCAGGUAGUUCAAUGUCCAAUUUUCUGAGGAACCUCCAGACUGAUUUCCAGAAUGGUUGUACCAGUCUGCAAUCCCACCAAUAAUGGAGGAGUGUUCCUCUUUUCUCCACAUUCUUACCAGCAUCUGUUGUCACCUAAGUUUUUGACCUUAGCUAUUCUGACUGGUUUGAGGCAGAAUCUCAGGGUUGUUUUGAUUUGCAUUUCCUUGAUGACUAAGAAUGUUGAACAUUUCUUUAGGUAUUUCUCAGCCAUUCAGUAUUCCUCAGCUGAGAAUUCUUUGUUUAGCUCUGUACCCCAUUUUAAUAGGGUUAUUUGUGUCUCUGGAGUCUGACUUCUUUAAUUCUUUGUAUAUAUCAGAUAUUAGCCCUCUAUCAGAUGUAGGAUUGGUGAAGAUCUUUUCCCAAUCUGUUGGUUGCCGUUUUGUCCUAAUGACAGUGUCCUUUGCCUUACAGAAGCUUUGUAGUUUUAUGAGGUCCCAUUUGUCGAUUUUGAUCUUAUAGCAUAAGCCAUUGGUGUUCUGUUUAGGAAAUUUUCUCCAGUACCCAUGUGUUUGAGACUCUUCUCCACUUUUUCUUCUAUUAGUUUGAGUGUAUCUGGUUUCCUGUAGAGGUCCUUGAUCCACUUGGACUUAAGCUUUGUACAGGGCGAUAAGAAUGGAUUGAUUUGCAUUUUUCUACAUGCUGACCUCCAGUUGAACCAGCAUCAUAUGAUGAAAAUGCUGUUUUUUCCCCCCACUGGAUGGUUUUAUCUCCUUUGUUAAAGAUCAAGUGACCAUAGGUGUAUAGGUUCAUUUCUGGGUCUUCAGUUCUGUUCCACUGCGAUCUAUCUGCCCGUCUCUGUACCAAUACCAUACAGUUUUUUAUCACAUUUGCUCUGUAAUACUGCUUGAGGUCAGGGAUGGUAAUUCCCCCAGAAGUUCUUUUAUUGUUGAGGAUAGUUUUUGCUAUCCUGAUUUUUUUGUUAUUCCGAUGAAUUUGCAAAUUGCUCUUUCUAACUCCAUGAAGGAUUGAGUUGAAAUUUUGAUGGGGUUUGCAUUGAAUCUGUAGAUUGCUUUUGGCAAAAUGGCCAUUUUUAUAAUAUUAAUCCUGCCAAUCCAUGAGCAUGGGAGAUCUUUCCAUCUUCUGAGAUCUUCAAUUUCUUUCUUCAGAGACUUGAAGUUCUUAUCAUACAGAUCUUCCACUUGUUUGGUUAGAGUCACACUGAAAGAACUCCAAAGAGAGACCCUUUCUAAAGUCCUGGGAAAUCUCGGACCCCAGACACAGAGAGACCAUUUUGGAUGUAAUAAGCAAAGGCGAGGUUUAUUAUGGAGAUCUAUUACGGGGAUCUCUGGGUCGACAGGUAUCCUGCGCAGGAGACAGAGGUGUUGACCCGAAACUCAAAAGUCAGGGGUUUAUAUAGGGAAGGCUAGGGGGUUUGGCACAGUUUCACACAAUUGGCUCUUUCAAACAGUGGCGGCUAAUUUUUGGCACGGCUGUAAGUGAUUGGCUCAUUUAAACAUGGCAGUGAGAUUAUAGCACAGCAGAAGAGUACGUGCUGACUGGGGCGUUUGGGUUUUUAGAAGCCAGGGGCUUAUCAGGGUUUGAAGGACAUCUGGUUAAGGUAUGGCUCUGAGUAAGCUGGGGGAGGUGCCCUCCUGCCAAAUGGUUUGAGUCAGCCCUGAUAACUCGGGCUGGUUCCUGCAUUCCUUUUCUUUAUCUUUAUGGUCUGUUAGUCCAUGCAGGGCUGCCUGGACUUGAUUUUCACAGUGUUUAGCCCUGAGUCUGUGAAUUUUGAAACUUACUCUUUUAAUUUUAUAUUUUUAAACCUCAAAUCUGUAUAAUUUUCCUUUCAACACCAAGGUACUUUAUAUUAUUUGGGACUAUUGUAAAGGGUGUCAUUUCCCUAACUUCUUUCUCAGCCUGUUUAUCUUUCAAGUAGAGGAAGGCUAUUGAUUUGUUUGAAUUAAUUUUAUAUCCAGCCACUUUGUUGAAGUUGUUUAUAGGUUUAGUAGUUCUCUGGUGGAACUUUUGGGAUCACUUAAGUAUACUAUCAUAUCAUCAGCAAAUAGUCAUAUUUUGACUACUUCUUUUCCAAUUUGUAUCCCUGACCUCCAUUUGUUGUCUGAUUGCUCUGGCUAGGACUUCAAGUACUAUAUUGUGUUGUUGUAAAAAUAUAAAAAAUAAAAAAAGUGAGGUUUUUUAUCCCCCACUAAGUCUACACCCCAGUGCCCCAUGAUAUCUGCUGGAUAUCUUGCCAGAAGCACACAUUCCAAUUCUGUGGUGGCCCAGACCAGCUGCUGCACACUUCCUUACACAUAAAUCGCUACAUGAAAGAUCACACAACACAAUAACCUUUGACCCAAUUGAUAAGAUAUAAUUGCCCACCUAAACAUACAAAGCCCAAUACACAUCCAUCCCCUUAAAAACAUUGGUAACAACCUGAAAAGGUACAGCAUGGAAUCUUAACGUCACCCGCUGUAUUGUUCUGCCAAGGCUUCUCUCCCUCUGUCUCCUGUCUCUUCCUCCUUUCUGAUCCAGUCUUCUCCUCUUCCUUUAAACUUUUCUCCCGUCCAACUUUCCUUCUUGUCCAAUGACAGGCCUCCUUCUAUCUUGUACCUGCCUCACCUGUGACAUCAUCUCACAAUAUUGAAUAAGUAGGGAGAGAGUGGGCAGCCUUGUCUAGCCCCCGAUUUUAGUGGGAUUGCUUCAAGUUUAAUUUGCUCCAUUUAGUUGAAUGUUAGCUACUGGUUUGCUGUAUAUUUCUUGUACUAUGUUUAGGCAUGGACCUUGAAUCCCUAAUCUUUCCAAGACUUUUAUCAUGAAGGUGUGUUGAAUUUUUGUCAAAUGUUUUCUCAGCAUCUAAUGAGUUUGUUUACAUAGUAGAGUGCGUUGAUGGAUUUCCCUAUAUUGAACCAUCCCUGCAUCCCUGGGAUGAAGCCUACUUGAUCAUGAUGGAUGAUUGUUUGAUGUGUUCUUGGAUUCUGUUUGGGAGAAUUUUAUUGAGCAUUUGUGCAUUGAUAUUCAUAAGGGAAAUUGAUCUGAAGUUCUCUUUCUUUGUUGGGUCUUUGUGUGGUUUAGGUAUAAGAGUAAUUGUGGCUUCACAGAAGUAUUUGGGUAGUGCUCCUUCUGUUUCUGUUUUAUGGAGUAGUUUGGACAGUAUUGGUAUGAGGUCUUCUAUAAAGAUUUGAUAGAAUUCUGCAAAAAACCCAACUGGUCCUGUUUUUUUUUUUUUUUUUUUUUUUGGGGAGACUUUUA